AGUAAAGCAACUACGAAAGAGAACUAUUUGUGCAUCUUAAAGCAUCGAUGCUUCACAAAAGGAUGGAUAACUGGUAUGCCGUAAUGAUGGUCACAGAAAUCCUAAAUGAAGGCAGUAGUUCUGUUUCUGUUUACUACAAGGGAUAUCUUUCCAAAUAAGGAAAUUACCCACAACUAUGGUGAUUCUUCUUGGCCAUGGCAUUCAAGGGAAUUGCAUGAAGCAUCAUUGGUGACUGAGAUUGAUUGCAGUGUGAAAACUUCCAUGUCAGGGAAAGAGAAACAAUUAUGUGAAAAGUCAUCAAUGGCAAUGAUUGAAUGUGGUUCGAAAAAUUUCUACGUCAGGGAAGGAGAAAGAAUUGCAUGAAGAGUCAUUGGUGACUGGGAUCAAAUGCUGUUCGAAAACUUCUAAAUCAGGGAAAGAGACAGAGUUGAAUGAAGAGUCAUUGGUGACUGGGAUCAAAUGCAGAGCGAAAACUUCCAAGUCAGGGAAAGAGACAGUA
rnacentral:lncRNA from 1 species